AUACAUUUUUUGAAUAAGACUCCAAACGAACAGUACUUCCUCAUCAAGGUAGUUGCAAUAUUCAGUCUAUUUGGUCCUUGUGGACGUAUAGAAUUCCACAAUUUAUGUGUUGGCGAUUUGAAGGAAGAGGGUUCAGUCUUUGUGGUGCAUAUUAGAGAUACUGAAACAAGAUAUACCUAGAACAUUCACAAUUUUGAAUGAUGAUAACUUAAAGCAACACUGGGCUCAUUAAGAAGUCGUUCAAAAAUGAAUAACAGGAGACAUUUUUAGGUCCGAAAAUUGACGAAUUAGGUUAUAAAAAUCUUAGUUUAGGUUAAAAACCUGGAGGAGAAAAUAU